GGACUACUAGGGUAUCUAAUCCUGUUUGCUCCCCACGCUUUCGUGCCUCAGCGUCAGUCAUGGUCCAGUAAGCCGUCUACACCGCCGGUGUUCCUCCUGAUAUCUACGCAUUUCACCGCUACACCAGGAAUUCCGCUUACCUCUCCCACACUCCAGCCCCGCAGUUUUCGGCGCACCCUCCCAGUUAAGCCGGGAGAUUUCACACCAAACUUGCGGAACCGCCUACGCACUCUUUACGCCCAGUAACUCCGAACAACGCUUGCUGCCUACGUAUUACCGCGGCUGCUGGCAC
rnacentral:rRNA from 1 species